CUAAAAUGUGUACAGGACCUGUGUGCAAAGAAACUGAUAGCAUUCAAAUAGUUCACCUGAUUCGCAGCACACAGGUGCAUGUACCACUGGGCUUAGAGUCAGUGUCCCACAUCAGGGAUAUGCUGUACUCCUCAGCAGUUGGAUUGUGACAAGCCAGACCUACAAAGUGUUCAAGGAGUGAAAAACAACAGGAUUACCAAGACAACCACCUGACACUUUCCAUGUCAAAUCAAACAUAUUUCUUAAAACAUAUCAGACUGUACAACUACUACUACUAAACCACAGUACCAGCUGUCAAACGUUCGGAUUUAUAUGCACAAAAUUACCUUUUGUACAUCACACAAAAGAACUACUGCCAAACAGUGAAAUCCAGCAGGUGACUUGUUUUGUGCUGGGGUGCUGUUUAACUUAGUUGUUAAUCAAUUAUCAUACUGGAAACGUUAAUAUUAAUGAAGCAUCAGAUUCGAGACUUUCCUAUUAACAAAUUGUCAUAUUGGAAACUGUUAUCAACAAAAUCAUCACAUUGAAAACUUUCUUCUCAAUAAAGAUUGGAAAUAUAUUACUAAAAUAUAUUACUAAAUCGUCAGAUUGGAAUCUUUCUCAUCAACAUAUUAUCAACACUGGAAAUUUUAUCAAUAAAUCAUUAUAUUGGAAUCCUUAUUAGUGAACUGUUAUAUUGGAAACUUUUACUAUCAAUGAAACAAUACACUGAAGACUGCUAUCAAUAAAUCAACUAGUACAUAAUUAUACACCUAUAGCGAUCAAGCAUGAAGAUGUAUCUACGACAUACAAUAAGGACAAUAUUUGUCCAUGAAAAGUUGUUUGCAGUAGCGUUGGUCUUAAUGUGUUUCGCACACAGUCCAGUUUCCUCUGAACUGACCCUUGAGCCACGACCGGAAUUAGCUGUACAUCCAGCAGAAAAUGUCUCGUUCAGUUGCUCCGGAUAUGAGAAAAACCAAACAAUUCAAUGGCUGCUACCUGACAGAACCAUGGUUCCAACGAACACCACCAUGAGGAUUUAUAAACUGAAUGACACACUAAACAUAAUAAAUGUCACGUACAAUGACACGGGUGUUUAUGUCUGCCAGACUACAGACCUCUUGAUGAAUGUGACCGCGGAGUUGAA